rnacentral:tRNA from 1 species
GCCCCCUUAGCUCAGGGGAUAGAGCAACUGCCUUCUAAGCAGUGGGUCGCAGGUUCGAAUCCUGCAGGGGGUG